GAUGAACGCUGGCGGCGUGCCUAAUACAUGCAAGUCGAGCGAACGGACGAGAAGCUUGCUUCUCUGAUGUUAGCGGCGGACGGGUGAGUAACACGUGGAUAACCUACCUAUAAGACUGGGAUAACUUCGGGAAACCGUAGCUAAUACCGGAUAAUAUUUUGAACCGCAUGGUUCAAAAGUGAAAGACGGUCUUGCUGUCACUUAUAGAUGGAUCCGCGCUGCAUUAGCUAGUUGGUAAGGUAACGGCUUACCAAGGCAACGAUGCAUAGCCGACCUGAGAGGGUGAUCGGACAAACUGGAACUGAGACACGGUCCAGACUCCUACGGGAGGCAGCAGUAGGGAAUCUUCCGCAAUGGGCGAAAGCCUGACGGAGCAACGCCGCGUGAGUGAUGAAGGUCUUCGGAUCGUAAAACUCUGUUAUUAGGGAAGAACAUAUGUGUAAGUAACUGUGCACAUCUUGACGGUACCUAAUCAGAAAGCCACGGCUAACUACGUG
rnacentral:rRNA from 1 species